UACGUAGGGUGCAAGCGUUGUCCGGAAUUAUUGGGCGUAAAGAGCUCGUAGGCGGUUUGUCGCGUCUGCUGUGAAAACGCGAGGCUCAACCUCGCGCCUGCAGUGGGUACGGGCAGACUGGAGUGCGGUAGGGGAGAUUGGAAUUCCUGGUGUAGCAGUGAAAUGCGUAGAUAUCAGGAGGAACACCGAUGGCGAAAGGCAGGUCUC
rnacentral:rRNA from 1 species